UUCUCUGGAGACACCUGUAUCAGACAGGGGCCGAAGGUGCAAACGGCGCGCAGCGUCUUGAAUCUCUCAGGCAAAAGGACAGAGGAU
rnacentral:ncRNA from 1 species